rnacentral:rRNA from 1 species
AUUGAACGCUGGCGGCAGGCCUAACACAUGCAAGUCGAACGGUAACAGGAAGCAGCUUGCUGCUUUGCUGACGAGUGGCGGACGGGUGAGUAAUGUCUGUGAAACUGCCCGAUGGAGGGGGAUAACUACUGGAAACGGUAGCUAAUACCGCAUAACGUCGCAAGACCAAAGAGGGGGACCUUAGGGCCUCUUGCCAUCGGCUGUGCCCAGAUGGGAUUAGCUAGUAGGUGGGGUAACGGCUCACCUAGGCGACGAUCCCUAGCUGGUCUGAGAGGAUGACCAGCCACACUGGAACUGAGACACGGUCCAGACUCCUACGGGAGGCAGCAGUGGGGAAUAUUGCACAAUGGGCGCAAGCCUGAUGCAGCCAUGCCGCGUGUAUGAAGAAGGCCUUCGGGUUGUAAAGUACUUUCAGCGGGGAGGAAGCGAGUAAAGUUAAUACCUUUGCUCAUUGACGUUACCCGCAGAAGAAGCACCGGCUAACUCCGUG